CUACGGGGGGCAGCAGUCGGGAAACUUCUACAAUGCGCGCAAGCGUGAUAGAGCAAGCCAGAGUGUUUCUCUAAUAAUUGAGCAACUUUUGUAAUAUGUAAAAAGUAUUACGAAUAAGGACUGGGUAAGACUGGUGCCAGCCGCCGCGGUAAUACCAGCAGUCCAAGUGGCAGCCACUUUUAUUGGGUCUAAAACAUCCGUAGCUUGCUUGGUAAGUCUUGCGUGAAAUCCGGCAUCUCAAGUGUCGGGCGUGCGCGAGAAACUGCCUUGCUAGAGACCGGGAGACGUAAGGAGUACGGACAGGGUAGUGGUCAAAUACGUUGAUCCUGUUUGGACUAACGAUAGCGAAGGCACCUUACGAGAACGGAUCUGACAGUGAGGGAUGAAGGCUAGGGGCGCAAAACGGAUUAGAUACCCCUGUAGUC
rnacentral:rRNA from 1 species